CCCUUAGAUGUUCUGGGCCGCACGCGCGCUACACUGACGAAUGCAACGAGCUUAUAAUAACCUUGGCCGAAAGGUCUGGGUAAUCUCCAAAUUUCGUCGUGAUGGGGAUAGAUUAUUGCAAUUAUUAAUCUUCAACGAGGAAUGCCCAGUAAGCGCAAGUCAUCAGCUUGCGUUGAUUACGUCCCUGCCCUUUGUACACACCGCCCGUCGCUCCUACCGAUUGAAUGGUCCGGUGAAGCGUUCGGACCGUGGCCUUUGGACGGUUCGCCGUCUGUUGGCUGCGGGAAGUUCGUUAAACCUUAUCAUUUAGAGGAAGGAGAAGUCGUANCA
rnacentral:rRNA from 1 species